UACGAAGGGGGCUAGCGUUGUUCGGAAUUACUGGGCGUAAAGCGUGCGCAGGCGGUUUUGUAAGCCCGAUGUGAAAUCCCCGGGCUUAACCUGGGAAUGGCAUUUGGGACUGCAAGGCUUGAGUGCGGCAGAGGAGACUGGAAUUCCUGGUGUAGCAGUGAAAUGCGUAGAUAUCAGGAGGAACACCGAUGGCGAAGGCAGGUCUCUGGGCUGACACUGACGCUCAUGCACGAAAGCGUGGGGAGCAAACAGG
rnacentral:rRNA from 1 species